AUAAGAUGGAGAAUCCAUGCAGUGGAGGCUUAUCUGAACUUAGCACACACUCUCAGGAGUAUGGGAUUUCACUACAAAUUCCUUCACCGCACUUCAGGUGAUAUCUACCUUCAUUCUUCCAGAACAAUUUUUAUUCAGCUGCAUCUUUUACAGCUACAUAUCCUACGCUUCCUGGAGGGAAUUCAGUUUUCUGGGAUGAUGACAUUGCCUAUAAUAAGGUUCAGCGCACACUAUUUCUCCUAUCAAGCCAAUCCUCUGGUGCAGCUUCAGCUAAGAUGGGUCUCUCACCCAGCGGGUCCACAGAGAUGGGCAUGGCAUGGGCCGGGCAUUCAUUCACCCCUAAAUGGGUGAUGAUGCACAGCCAACGGGUUCCAGCACACCGCCCUGGAGUGUCAAGCGGAACAUCACCCACUGACGUCCCUGUCAAGGUCAUCGAAAAGCGCUCUGGUCUAGACAUGUGCCAUCAGAGUGAGAAAACCGCCACAAGCAUGCAUGAGCAACAGACCGAGGCAGUCUCCAUAAUGGCAAAGAUGCUGGAGGUCAGCUUUAGGUUGUACUUUCUCCAUGCAGCACUUCACUUAUAAUACAUGGUACAGUACAGUAAAAUAUGUGAGAAUAAAUCUGAGUACAUGAGAUUGAGGACUGUAAAGGUACUGCAAAGUCCUAAUGUCAUUCAUUGCUUCUGCUAUUCACAACAUGAGGAACACUAUGUAAAACCACUCUAGAUAAAUAGUUUAUGAUUCUACAUUAGGCUGUAGCCCAUUAACAUUAAAUCAAACAUAGACUUUCCAUCAUAAGAAAAAGAAAAAUGUCCCUUUUCUUAAAAGCCACUCUAACAUAUUUGAGCACCACAUACAACUGCCUUUCUGAACGGAAUAAUGUGUAGUUUAUUUUCAAAAAGGCUCAUUUCUUAAAAUAGUCUAUAUUUGUUGACCUACUUCCAGAGAUUGUUAUCUACAUUGUUGCACCACCAGUCCAGCUUUGUUUUCAAGCUGAACAUAUAGAUAAUCUUUAAAAGCAUGUGCACAAAGUAGCUUGUAUCAUUGUUUCAGUCUUCCAAAUUCUGUUUUAUGUUCCCUGAGUCCCAUAGAUGUCUUGGGUUCUCUUUAUCUACUGUUGUUUCACUCAUUUUCUUCCCCUUUUAGUACUAUCUCAUCUUAAUCCUGCACUGGCUUCCCUCAAUCAUCUUAUAUUACCAACUAUACUGCUUUCUUCACUUUGUCAUUAACCCGUUGUGCUUCUCCCUUCACUCUCUCAAAUCUUUGUUUGUGUUAUCUUCAAAUCAUUUUCUCAUUCUCCUUGGCUUUUUCCUAUUCUCACCCCAUCUUUUUUCAUUUUGCCCCACUGUUCCUGCUCCCUCCACCUUUCAUGUCCUUUCACAUCUCUUUCUCUUUAUCUGGCAGGCUCCCAUACUCCCUCGGUCUUCUUCUCUCUGUUUUACAUACUCCUGAUGUGCUCCUGCUGACCCCGUCUGUCCGAAGGGAUUAAUUGAUAGUGAGAGAUAAUAAAUCUUCCCAUUAGGCGCAAAGCCCCCUGUCCAUUGCUCAUUAUGCGCCCGCUGCUCCUCAACACCAUGGCCUGGGGUUUCCCCUGCUUUUUUAACACGCACGUCUGCCAUGCCAACCCCAGCAAGGUCAAUCUCUGCCUAUGACAGUCGAUUGGCUACCUCACAUCACGACACAUUCAUUCAUGCAUGGACACCUUUUGAAGUGUUUAUUCUUUUCUCUGUCUCUAGUUUUGCAAUAGUCUGUGUUUUACAUGAUAGACCUGAGCAGCCUUACCAUGCAGCAGCUGUUGCAUGCAAGCUUUACACAUACUGUUUUGAAUUUGUGGUUUCCAACGAAAAGAACAAUAUAAAACUCCUGGCCUAACAAAGUGUACUUUUGCUUUUUUCUUAUCAGGUAUGAGACAAUAGAUAAGAAAAAAUGAGCCGAUUCCUUGGGAAAGAUUUAAUGGUACUGAAUAAUUCCUACUACCUUGAGACAAUUUUGAAAGAUUUUCAGAUGUUCAGUCUUCAAAGGUUCCUCCAUUUCCUGUUUUUGGCACACAGAGCUGCCACAUGCUUUAGCCAGUUAUUGACCUGUAUCUUGCUAACUAUCUAGGCAGCUGUUUUCGCAUCUAUCUUCUCAUAUCUGUGAGCACUAUAGCAUUAUCUGUUUUGCUAUGUUUGACCUGAAUAACUGUUGCAAAAUACACUGUGGAUAUUAAUCAUGCUUCUUAUAAAAGCCAUUUGGUUAAGGCCAUUGCUUUAUGUUAUGUUAAUAUGUUUAUGUGUCCCUUUAAGUUUGACUUUCAGUCACAUAAUGCUGCCUGGAAGUACCUAAUCCCAAAAGUGAAAAUCCUUAAAUGGUGGACUUUCAAUACUUGGAUCAGCAGGCUAUUUGGCCCAGAAUGAUCAGUCUUCACUAAACGUCAGCCAAAUCAGUAAAUUGUGAGAUUUCUUAAAAGACAGGGCAAAACUCCCUGCAUCCUUUUUCGGGGAAAUAAUGUCAGGUCGCAAUUUCAAAAAACUUCUUCCACACCAUAAAGUCUUAGUGACAGGUGCAGAGGAUCAAAAACACUUUCCAUCACUCACUUUAUCUAAAACAAAGUAAAUAAAGUGAGUACAAGUGAUGGACAGUGUGCGAGAUUCUUUGUUUUCUUCCCAGGAAAUAAAAUUUCAAAAUGGUUAAUGCAAAUUAAUAAAUUUCAUUGAGUGAUAUAUACAUAUUUGCACUCAAACAUCUGUACAAUGCAUUAGUUCUCCCAUCUGACAUCUGGUAAAUUAGCCAGCAAAGUACACUUGGAAAAUCUGUUAAUGAUUAUGGCGUAUCCUUGUUUCUAUUUGUUUAAAUUAUUUUUCAAAACAUUUGCCUGCUUUGAUUAUUCUCUGUACUUUUGAUGUUCGUUACUCAAAUUUUUUGUCAUACAUAGUGCUGUGAUCGCCACUGGAGUCAUUAAAAAUCGAAUCUAAUUCAAUAUAAUCAAUCUAAUCUAAUCUAAAAUAAUCUAAUCUAAUCACGUUGCUGGUAAUUUGGAAAAAUCUGGAUAAAAAAUACUAGGUUAAUACUGGGUUUUAAAAUUGAGUCAGUGUCAAUAUUUUACUUAGUGUAAACUUUCUAAAUGGUAAUACUAAACUUCAACUUACUAUUACAAGCAGGUGUUAGCAGCAGCUUAGUACCAAGUAACCAUAACCAUUGCUAAUACUCUCUUAAUUGUAAGACUAAAAGGAGAACCCAAAAAUAGUUAAGUUAAAUUUAACUGUAACAUUGGAUAAGUUGAUACUAAAUUGACACUGUCCCCAUAAAAGGGACACAUAUUUCACUUUACUAUGCUAAAUCCAUGUUUUGCAACAUGUUUUUACCAUUGUAAUGGACCAAUCAAUCAGUAGCUCAACAGGAGAUAUAAAUAGUUUGUAUUUUUUAUUUAAAACUUCAUAUAACCCAUACAGCAAACUGUACAAUUGAAUUAUUCACAAUGUGUUAAAAAGAAAAUAAUUCAAUAGCUUUUCUAUAAUAUUUUGUUGAAUUUCCCCAUGUUUUACUCAGAUGUCGGUUAUUUUAAUGUUCUCUUAACACAUAGUUACUAGGAAAACAAAAUCUCUUUUUUUCCUUUUUUUUUUACAAAAUCUUACAAAAACUAUAUUCAUAGAAAUUCUGCAUGUCCACAAAGAAAACCCUGGUUGGCACCAACAUAUUUUUCGUAUUGUUGAGAGGUUUUCUGCCAAGUGAUAGAAGCUAUGCAACUCAAAAUAAAGGUAUACAUAAAAAGGCA